CCCUCACCCUCUCGCGCCCCGCGCCCCUUGCCCUCCCCAGGGGCCCUCAGGCACUCGGACGGGACGUUCACCAGCGAGCUCAGCCGCCUGCGGGAGAGCGCCCAGCUGCAGGAGCUGUUCCAGGUCCUGUCUGAGAAGCGCAGCGAGCAGCACACCGAGACCAGCACGUCCAGCACCAAGACUGCGGAGAGACCCGUCUGCCUGCUGUGGUCCAGCAGCCUGCCCUGCAGACCUGGGCGGUACCCAUGUCUGGCACCGGAUAUGAGACACUGAAGACGCCCAGCUUCAAGGAUUUAAGGAGAGCAAAUCUGCUGCGGUUCAGACGCUUGUCUGCCCUCCACAGACAGGAUGCUCUCCUCCUCCCUGGAAACUGCCAAACUGCCAUUCCUGCUCUGCCUGAGCGCAAACUGCUAGAGGCCUCUCUUCGAGUCAAGAAACCAAGCUCCUUGCCGCAGCUUAUUUUGACGACCUCCAUGUGUCUCCUCUGUCAGCGAGUGUCUCCGGGUGUCCUGCCAAGGACUGAAACCCAUCAGCUCUCUGAUAAAUAAACCUGUGUGAUUUCUUGCAUUGUU